rnacentral:rRNA from 1 species
AGUUUGAUUCUGGCUCAGGAUUAACGCUGGCGGCGUGCCUAACACAUGCAAGUCGAACGAAAUAUCUUCGGAUAUUUAGUGGCGAACGGGUGAGUAAUGUACAGGUAAUGUACCUUCGUACUGCGAAUAACAAGCUAGAAAAGUUUGCUAAUACGGAAUUAGUUUCAGUUAGGGGGCUUUCCUUUGAUGAAUAAAGAUUUAUCGUGCGGAGAUCAGCCUGUAUCCUAUUAGUUAGUUGGUGGGUAAUGGCCUACCAAGACGAUGAUGGUAACUGGUCUGAGAGGAUGAGCAGUCACAUUGGAACUGAGAUACGGUACCAAACUCCGUACGGGAGGCAGCAGUGAGGUAAUUUUGCGCAAUGGGGGAAACCCUGACGCAAGCAACGCCGCGUGAGUGAAGACGGCCUUCGGGUUGUAAAGCUCUGUCGUGUGUGACGAGUAGGGACGGUAACACACAAGGAAGCCUCGGCUAACUACGUGCCAGCAGCCGC